rnacentral:tRNA from 1 species
GGGUGGCUAGCUCAGUGGUAGAGCGCCUCGUUUACACCGAGGAUGUCGGGGGUUCGAAACCCUCGCCGCCCACAA